UACAGAGGUCUCAAGCGUUGUUCGGAUUCAUUGGGCGUAAAGGGUGCGUAGGCGGCGCGGUAAGUCGGGUGUGAAAUCUCGGGCUUAACUCCGAAACUGCAUUCGAUACUGCCGUGCUUGAGGACUGGAGAGGAGACUGGAAUUACGGUGUAGCGGUGAAAUGCGUAGAUAUCGAGAGGAACACCUGCGGCGAAGGCGGGUUGCUGGGCUGACACGUGACGCUGAAGCGCGAAAGCUAGGGGAGCGAACGGG
rnacentral:rRNA from 1 species